GAAGUGAAAUCUUCAAUUCUAUUAUGCAUUAGAAUCUUGUGGUGUGCCAGUAUUUGAGAAUGCCAGAGCCAAAAGUGAUGGCACGUGGUUUAAGGUCAAUGACAGGUUGGCCUAUGAAUGCCAGGAUGGAUAUAAAAACCGAGAUGGACACACCAUAGGCUCCAUAGUGUGUGGUGAAAAUGGUUGGUCUGAUGCACCCACCUGUCAGGAAAGAGAAUGCAUCGUUCCCGAUAUAGAGCAGAACUUAAUUGUUCAGCCCCGGAAAGAGAAAUAUGUCAUUGGAGACGUGUUGAAAUUCUCCUGCAGAAAUAGAUUCCUCACUCUCAUCGGAGCAGACUCUCUUCAGUGCUACCACUUUGGAUGGUCCCCUAGUCCUCCGACAUGUAAAG